rnacentral:rRNA from 1 species
GACGAACGCUGGCGGCGUGCCUAAUACAUGCAAGUCGAACGGACUUUCGCCUUCGGGUGAAAGUUAGUGGCGGACGGGUGAGUAACACGUAGGCAACCUGCCUCUAAGACCGGGAUAACAUUCGGAAACGAAUGCUAAGACCGGAUAAGCAAAUUUCUCGCAUGAGAGAAUUGAGAAACACGGUGCAAGCUGUGGCUUGGAGAUGGGCCUGCGGCGCAUUAGCUAGUUGGUGAGGUAACGGCCCACCAAGGCGACGAUGCGUAGCCGACCUGAGAGGGUGAACGGCCACACUGGGACUGAGACACGGCCCAGACUCCUACGGGAGGCAGCAGUAGGGAAUCUUCCACAAUGGGCGAAAGCCUGAUGGAGCAACGCCGCGUGAGUGAGGAAGGCUUUCGGGUCGUAAAGCUCUGUUGCCAGGGAAGAAUAAGGGUGAAGUAACUACUCAUCCGAUGACGGUACCUGAGAAGAAAGCCCCGGCUAACUACGUGCCAGCCGCCGCCGUAAUAC